ACAAGACAUAGAUUAUAGAUAGACCUUCCUUAAUCCUCAGUUAUUACAGGCAUUUGCUGCUUUGUCUUUGGAAUGUCCAUUUUUUUGCUUCAGCCACAGGUGCAUGGAUCACAGCCGCAGCUUGUUCCACACUUGCACCCACUUUCUGCUCCCAAACUCAUCUCGGACCCCUCAAAGUUCCUGCGAGUUAAACCCAUGGUUUCAAAUUUUCUUAAUUCCCAUAAAAACAUUAAGCAAAACUUUGAUUUACUGGUGAUAAUAAAAUUCGAAUCUAGUUUUUUUUGCCACUAACAUCUUCACUGUCGCAACUCCGGAGAUGAUGGUCCCUGUUGUGGUCUUCUCAGUGUAUCCCAAGUUAAGGUUCCUGCUGCAUCUGCAGAAUUCAAAGGCAAAAAUUGAAAUCAAACAAGUUGAAAGAGAAUUGGUUUCAAAUGUGUUCUCUUAUCUUCUAUUUCUAAAAAAUAUAAACGCGUAUGCACAUGCAUAUACACAUAUGCGCAUAUAUGUAACAAAAAAAAAAACGAUAAUUACAAGUAACAGAUAGAAUUAUAUAUUACGAGCAGCUAUCACCGCAUUUACAGUCAGAACCACAGGUGCAUCCUGAAGACAUUUUUUUUUUUUUGCAGAGUGAAGAGGAGAUUGGGAAAAUUUCUACUAGGGAUUCAAUAGAAAAAAGGAAGAGAUGAGUUUGAUACGAGACCUGGACUGGUAUUUAUAGUGGACUUGAAGAAAGGGAGAGUGGAUAUUCACC
rnacentral:lncRNA from 1 species